AUCAGCUUGCUGAUUUGCUGACGAGUGGCGGACGGGUGAGUAAUGUCUGGGAAACUGCCUGAUGGAGGGGGAUAACUACUGGAAACGGUAGCUAAUACCGCAUAACGUCGCAAGACCAAAGAGGGGGACCUUCGGGCCUCUUGCCAUCGGAUGUGCCCAGAUGGGAUUAGCUAGUAGGUGGGGUAACGGCUCACCUAGGCGACGAUCCCUAGCUGGUCUGAGAGGAUGACCAGCCACACUGGAACUGAGACACGGUCCAGACUCCUACGGGAGGCAGCAGUGGGGAAUAUUGCACAAUGGGCGCAAGCCUGAUGCAGCCAUGCCGCGUGUAUGAAGAAGGCCUUCGGGUUGUAAAGUACUUUCAGCGGGGAGGAAGGGAGUAAAGUUAAUACCUUUGCUCAUUGACGUUACCCGCAGAAGAAGCACCGGCUAACUCCGUGCCAGCAGCCGCGGUAAUACGGAGGGUGCAAGCGUUAAUCGGAAUUACUGGGCGUAAAGCGCACGCAGGCGGUUUGUUAAGUCAGAUGUGAAAUCCCCGGGCUCAACCUGGGAACUGCAUCUGAUACUGGCAAGCUUGAGUCUCGUAGAGGGGGGUAGAAUUCCAGGUGUAGCGGUGAAAUGCGUA
rnacentral:rRNA from 1 species